rnacentral:lncRNA from 1 species
UUUUGGUUAACUGGGCCAUUCCCUCACGACCCAACAUUUUUUUUUGACAAAAUGGGCUAUAUUAUCUCCAAGGCCCAACAUUAAAUGCCCACCCCCAUCUUGCAAAAUGGGCCCCCUAUCCAAGUACUUGGCCAUAAAGCCCACCAACCACUUGGCUCAACCACCUGGCUUUAGUUAGUGGGGGAAAAGGUUUAUAAAGCACUUUAUUUUUCCUCUUACUUCCGAUGUGGGAUAAGGUAAAGGGAUUUUUUUUUUUUUGAUAGGUAAAUAGAUUUCAUUAAGAGCCAAUGGCUAGAGAAAGGCAUACACGGAGUAUACCAAAGACAAAGAAGCAAAAAAACAAAAGGACAAAGCAAAACAAUCCUUACUUAGUGGCUAGCCCGUCUAUAAAAUCUAUCAAGGACAAAGUGUGUUCUCCUAUAUACACCCUAGCCCAAUUCACAAAAGUGUACAAAAAAAUGGAUUUAAUGUCUUGAUCAUUCCUCUCCAUAUCAUCGAAUGCUCUCCUAUUUCUUUCUCUCCAAAUGGUCCACAUCAAGCAGAGGGGGGCAGCUCUCCAAGCUUUCUUCCUUUUCUUGCCCACAAAGGAACCAUGCCAACCUAGGAGGUGAUUUUUCACAGUGGAGUGCAUCACCCAUUGCACCCCAAACAGGGAGAAAAUUAGGAGCCAUAACAUUCUGGCUUUCUCACAAAACAGUAGAAGGUGAUCUGUGGUUUCCUCCUUAUGUUUACACAAAAAGCAUCUAUUGGGGAUACUCCAACCAAUUCUCUUCAGACGGUCUGUGGUGAGCAAUCUAUUCCAAGCCGCCACCCAACCAAAGAAACUAGCCCUAAUUGGAACCCAAGGCGUCCAAAUAGUUCUAGCCGGGAAGGGGGGUUUGGAAUCCCUUGAGAAGGAGCUAUAAAAGGACUUGACAGAAAAGGUUCCAAUCUUGUUCUCUUUCCACCGGAACAAGUCCUCCACGCCUCUUCUAAUGGUCAAUGGAUGAAGCUUACUUAAUAAGCUUUCGACUUCUCCCACCUCCCAAUCAUUAAGGUGUCUGUUAAAACGAAGCCCCCAACUACCUCCACCUUCGUCUUUCUCCCAAGCCUCAGCAACCCAUCCUUCUUUGUUGACAGAGAGGUUAAACAAGAUGGGGAAAGUUUCCUUCAGAGAUUGAUUUCCACACCACAAAUCCUUCCAAAACUUCACUUUGGUGCCGUCCCCAAUGAUGAAGCGGGAAUGAGAACGAAAAUUCUCCCAACCUUUUCUGAUGGCCUUCCAGACCCCCACCCCAUACCGGUUUCUUGCAUCUUUGGAGCACCAUCCUCCCUCUUGAAGAUCAUACUUACUAAGGAUAAUUUGCUUCCAUAGGGGCUCAUUCUCAUUAGCGAAUCUCCACAACCAUUUCCCCAGAAGGGCCUUGUUAAAAGUAGCUAGGCUACGAAUGCCCAAGGUAAAGGGAUUUAAAAGCAAAAAUAAACUUUGUUCCUGCAAACUGCAACAAGAGGGUUUGAACCUAAGACCACAAGCUCAUAAUGAGUUGGUUCCACCGUGCUGCAUCUUUGUCUAUGUUAAUAUUUAACAGAAAAUAACUACAUAGGUUGUUUC